rnacentral:rRNA from 1 species
UACGAAGGGGGCUAGCGUUGCUCGGAAUCACUGGGCGUAAAGGGUGCGUAGGCGGGUCUUUAAGUCAGGGGUGAAAUCCUGGAGCUCAACUCCAGAACUGCCUUUGAUACUGAGGAUCUUGAGUAUGGGAGAGGUGAGUGGAACUGCGAGUGUAGAGGUGAAAUUCGUAGAUAUUCGCAAGAACACCAGUGGCGAAGGCGGCUUACUGGUCCGGUCUGACGCUGAGGCGCGAAAGCGUGGGGAGCAAACAGG